UUUAAAUACUUUUUAAAGUAUCAAUUGGAGGGCAAGUCUGGUGCCAGCAGCCGCGGUAAUUCCAGCUCCAAUAGCGUAUAUUAAAAUUGUUGCAGUUAAAAAGCUCGUAGUUGAAUUUUUGCUAAAAAUAACCGGUCUGCUUUUAUUAAUAAAAGUGGUAUCUUGGUGUGCUUUUAGCAAUAAUGUCCUUUGAAAUGUUUUUUACUUCAUUGUAAAAAGCAAUUUUCAGGAUUUUUACUUUGAGAAAAUUAGAGUGUUUCAAGCAGGCUAACGUUUUGAAUACUGCAGCAUGGAAUAAUAAAAUAGGAUUUUAGUUYUACGUUAUUGGUUUUAAGAACUAAAUUAAUGAUUGAUAGGAGCAGUUGGGGGCAUUUGUAUUUAACUGUCAGAGGUGAAAUUCUUAGAUUUGUUAAAGACACACUACUGCGAAAGCAUUUGCCAAAGAUGUUUUCAUUAAUC
rnacentral:rRNA from 1 species